GAGAAAUUAACAUUCCAAACACGAAGCGUUUAUGCUAAACAAGCUUGGGUUCGGGAUAUCAGAGAAGCUUUAGUUAAUUUGGGUAUAAAAGAGACAGAUAUUAUGGCCGAACGUCGAAUCAAGAAACAAACUAGUCCUCCCCCACCUUCAACUCCACGUAAAAAGUCUGAGAGUAGCGCUAGCAGUAGUAAACUUGAUGAUGUUGAUCAACAGAGUGGCUCCGAAUCAGAUCGUACAAUUAAAUCAGACGAUUACCAGUCUUUAACAUCGUAUGACAGUGAUUAUAAUACAGAUAUCAGUAGUUAUCAUACGGCACCAGAGUUUGAGGAUGGAACAUCACGACCCAUAUUUAAACGGAG